rnacentral:rRNA from 1 species
CAGUAGCCGCGGUAAAACGGAGGGGGCUAGCGUUGUUCGGAAUUACUGGGCGUAAAGCGCACGUAGGCGGCUUGGUAAGUUAGAGGUGAAAGCCUGGAGCUCAACUCCAGAAUUGCCUUUAAGACUGCCGAGCUAGCAGGUGAGAGAGGUAAGUGGAAUUCCGAGUGUAGAGGUGAAAUUCGUAGAUAUUCGGAAGAACACCAGUGGCGAAGGCGGCUUACUGGCUCAUACUGGACGCUGAGGUGCGAAAGCGUGGGGAGCAAACAGGAUUAGAUACCCCCGUAGUCCCUGUCUCUUAUAC